rnacentral:lncRNA from 1 species
UGAAAAUUUCAGGAACUGAAUUUUCGGCUCUCCCUUGAAACCAUUUGCGGGUAUGGUCUCGAGGAAACGAUGAUAGUCCGUCGGAAGGGGACGAUAAAUGGCUGACCCGUGUUAAGAGAGAGCAAUAUCUCUUGCACGUUAAAGACACCCUUGUAGAUUUCGAAAAAGAGCAGGCUAAUGCCGCUACAAGGCAGCACUCGCACCCGCAAAGUGGAAAGGGAUUAAUAUAAGUUGCAAAGCUUGUUUCCCAAUCCACUAUAAAUAAAU